rnacentral:lncRNA from 1 species
CCACUGUGACGUAACACGUCAGAAAACGUCAUAGACACCGCCCACUCGGCGAACUGUCUCCGAGCGGAGCCGGGCUGGAUUGGAUUGGACCCCUGGGCGGGAAAGGACGGACGGGUUAAGUAGCCAAUCACCAAUUGCGCUCCAGCCAGAGGGGCGAUGUUCUUGGGGAGCCUGGGGAUCUGGAAGAAGUUCAGUGUGAGGACGAGUGUUAGGAAAUAAGGCUGAAGACAGAGGCAACCCUGGAGGAUCUUCUAACCCAUGUCAAGCAGUUGAGAAUUUAUGGAGUGAAAUAGCAAGCCAUUGAAGAGUUUCAAGCUUUCAUCCAGCUUUUAAGGGAAACUAAUAUCUCAUGAAAUUGUGAGGGCCUGGAAUCUUCAAAGAGCCAAGGAUUCUGCCAGACUGAGCAAUAGACUUGAUGAGCAUUCUCCACUUAAGAUCUGAACUAUGAGAAGUCGAAUCAAAGCAGUUCUUUUGUAAUUCCAAACAGCCAUUUAGACAUAUGAAGAAAUGAAAGUAAAGCAGUUCUAAAGACAAGGAAGAGGGUCAAUGAAAGGUGCUCCCAAUGCAAUCACAAAGAUCUUUAAAAGUGGAAGAAGGUGGGAGAGGUCAGAGUGAUACGAAGAGAACUCAGUCUACCACUGCUGGCUUUGAAGAUGGAAGAAUGGGGCUAUGAGCCCUGGAUUGCGGGCAGCCUGCAGAAGCUGGGGCAGAGAUUCCACACAGGCACCUCUAGAAAAUAAUGCAGCCAGCCAAUCCUUAGACUUUAUCCCAGUGAGAGUCAAGUUGGACUUCUGACCUACAAAAGAGUAAAUAUCUAAAUUAUCUGUGGCAACAACUUGGUGGGGUCAACUCGAAUGUUUUUGUCGGCUGUUCUUGAAGACUUCUGGGUCUCUACAACCACAUUCUUUGGCUGGUGCCAGUGUUUAAGCACUCUGAAACUGCAUAGCAGCAUGUUUGAAGGUGGCCUGUCAAAUUUGGGAAACUGACGGUGUGACUGAGCUAGUCACAGGGGUCUUCACAGAAAAGGCAGUCGGGGUCCUGGUCAACUGGAGAUUCCAUCUGAAUGAUGAGAAGAAUACACCUUGGCAGCUGCUGGAUCAAGGCAAAUGAGAGACCCAUGGAGCUCACUAAAUCCAACUCUACAGCUUGGAGCUAAGCCUAACUUAGCCAAGUCUAAACCAGUUUGACCUCAGCCAAUUCACAGAUGUUUGAGCCAGAAGGUUAAGCCUCUUGACGCUUACUGGGCACUCACAGUUGUUAGUUCCCUGGAAGACAUGAAAGAGCUUGAUUGGUUCUGUAGUCGUCAGUCAAUAACCAACUGUAACAUACCUACACUUCCAACAAAAUCUUGAUUUGGGAAAUUGAGUGUCUGCUUAUAGUUAAUCCUCUAUUUUUUGACACCUAGUAGGAAAAACAUUUUCAAAAGAGCCAUGACCUGACUCAGUUAAUAUGCAAGGAAAAAUAAGCAGUUCCAAACUUGUCAGUUUAUCCAUCAUCCCUUAUCCAAAAUCCUUCAACUCUCUUGGAAUUAUUUUGUUCUUCAUACUUGCCCAACAAAUAUCUUACUCUUGUCUUGGACUUUAUUUUAUAGUUAUCUCACAUAAGCUCCUUGUGGCUAAGGGCACAUAUUUGGAAUCAGACUACCCUAGUUCAACUCUUGGGUCUACCAUUUAUUAGCUUGUAUUACUUUGGGAAAGAUAAUUAAAUUCUCCAGAUCUAAUUUCCCCCAUUAUAAGAUAAUAAUAGUUAUUACCUGCUAGGAUUGUCUUGAGAAGUAAAUUAGAUAAUUCAUAAGAACCAUUUAACACAGUGCCAGCCACAUAAUGAAGGCAUAGUAAGGGAAAGUUAUUAUGCUGUUGAUAAUACUUGUCUAGGCAGGGGUCUCAUAUUUUUCCCUGUAUCCAUUACUGUACAAUUCAUCUGUCCCAUGACAUUCUAAGAUUGUUUUAGAGUGAGUUGCUUCAGAGUUGAAUAAUUCUAAUAAUAUAUUCUCAUGUUUGGAAACAACUUGGAAUUCCAUUUAGUGUAGACAUCAACAAUGAAAUCGCUAGAGGAUGAGUAAUUUCUACAAUUUUUAUUCAUUAUAGAGAGACCAAUGGGUAUAAUGGUGAAAAGAACUGAGUAGAAGGUCAGGAGGUCAAAGAGACUGAGUUUAAACCCUCACUCUGCUGAGUACUGUUAAUAAUGGUAUGAUCUUAAGAGAACUAAUCUUUAGUUUUUCCCACCUUAAAAACAGAGUUGUCAUGAGUAUUUAAUAAUAGAGGGUAGUAUGUAAACUUCCUGGCAUAUAGCAACUGCUCAACAAAUAGAAGUUAUAGUUUUUUCUUAACUUGCCAAAGAGCCAAGGGAAAAAUGAAGAUUUUGUAGCCAAAGCCAUUUAUCUUUCUCUGUUAUGUGCCUAUCUGUUCCAGAAACAGAAUCAAUUCCUUGAACCUCAUCAAAGGAAGGAUUUGAACAUUUAAAAAAAAAUCAAUCUCUUUGGGUUUGUUAUUGCUUGUUUCCCAUACCUCAGAGACACAAAUACAAACCUUUAUAAUGUCAUCAGGAAGAAGAGGAGUCAAACACUCCUUAACUCAAUAAUUGCAAUGUUAUUAUUUUGCAAGGAAUAGAGUCAAAAUUCCAUUCACAUGAGGACUGUAACUUCUUCAUUACUCCUUGAGGCACGAUGUCCUUGAUUUUAAGUAGCUCAUGUAGAAACUAGUUGUAAGUCUUUAGCGGAGAGACUGUACUGGAAUUAUAGGAUCUACUUAGGGGUUUGAGCUUCCCCACCCACUUAGAGUGACAGUUCACACCUAUAAAAACACAAAAGUCCGGGGGUUUAUUAAACAUUAGGAGAUCCAAAGAGCCAAGACUUCUACCUGUAAAAGUGGUGCUUCCUAAGCAGAAGAAAUGGAAUUUCUCAGAGAAUACAGCUUGGCUUGACCAAUGGACUGUACAAGGAAGAUUAGGAGGUAAUUACUGGGGUAAAAGAGAAAUGGUUGCAUCUUUCUGGAACACUCUAAUAAAACUGAAAGUUUUUCCUGAUUUCUUCUUUUAUUUGAUACAAGGGUCAAAUUUGAUACAUAAAGUCAUAAUGUCCCACAUGUACUUCUCAGGAACAUCUGUUUAGUCCUACUACAAAACUUGGGGAACAUGGUUUCCUAAUGUGGUACCAGUCGUCUCUUCAUGGAUGACUUCAGGAAGAAAUUCUGACUGGCAGACUCCACAAGUAUAAGACAAUAAGAGGCCAAUUUCUUUAUUCUUCUCCUCUUCUCCGCUUGUCCCCCCACCUCAUUAGCUUUGGGAGAAUAACACAGUGUGGAACAGAAAAAUAAGGAGCCUUGUUGUACUUCAUUGGCCUCAAGAGGUCUCAUCUAUUAAAUAGAUCCAUUAUGUUACUCUCAGAGAAAAUUAUAGUCAAAAAUAUUUCAAGUUUUAGGGCAGUACUGAAUAUAUAAGGGCUCUGUUACUUAAUCUCUGUGCUCUUAUCUUGGGGCGGCAAAGCUCAGUAGGGCUAUCUUGAAAGUAGCCUGAAAUCAAUUGGUCAGAUGAAAUCAAUUGGUCAGGAGGAGCCCAUCAGGAGGAUCAAGGACAUGGGUGACACAGUGAGUGUAAUUAUUAGUCAGGAUAGGUUAGGUUAGGCAUUAGUGGCAAAUUAUCUCCAAAUCUCAGUGGCUUGGUACAAUAAAGGCUUAUUGCUUAUUCAUGCAGCAUGUCUACUGCAGGUCCACAAGGGCUCUGUUCCACUCACAGAUCCAGAUUGUAACAUUCUUUGCCAUCUCAUAGCUACAUGAUCUAAACAUCAGCAGAAGGAAAGUGUCUUGGGUCAGGCUACCUGGAAAACAGAUCAAGAUAAAGAUUUCUGUGCAAAAAGGUUAUUGGGGAGGGAACUCUAAUUGAUAUCUGCCAGGGAUAGUGCAAGAAUGGUUGAGCAGACAAUUGUUGAACUACUUACUAUGUAUGUAGUAACAACAAAGGUCUUGACCAACCCAAAAGGGAGUCCUGGAGCUCAAAUGGUUCUUCACAGUUCUCUCACCUUAAGGCAAGGGACCUGGGCCUUUAUUAUCCCUUAUCAACCAGUCAUUUGAUUAGCUUGACCCCAGAGAGAGGUUAUGACCUUGAGUAAAGUGGCUCUCCUCUACUGAGGAUAAUUCCAGGAGAGCAACUCAGCUGAGAGCUGUCAGCAAUGGGAGGAAUCAGAGUCUCAGUCCUGAAGAGCAGAUCUGGGCAGCAUAUCAUAGCAUCCACCACAAGGGGGAAAGUGCGUGCACUUUUCAUUGCCUCCACCUGGGAGUGACAUAUGCCAUUUUUUGCUGUCAUUUCAAUGACCAAAAGGAGUCACAUGAUUCUAAUUGGAAGGAACCUGGG